UUCGCUGCGCUAACAGGAUCGGCCCCGCCUCCAGGAUCGGCCCCGCCUGCGCUUUUAAUCAGCGGACCCAGAACAGAUCACAUAGGGAUCCGCACUUCGGACGCGCCUUAGAUAACCGCCGUGUGGGAAUUAGUCGGGAUCUCCUUCGCGUGAAGUUCGGCUGCCAAAUUUCUUCUUUGGCCACGAUUGGUGGAGAGAGUGGCGUGGAACAUCCUCUCUCGGAUGUUCACAGAAGAAGUGGCCAAGACCAUAAGCUCGAAGGGGGCAAAUGGCAAGAGGGCAUUCAGUCACAUGUCGUCGAAGACACUAAUGUACCGUGCUGUACGUGCAAAUAGUUUGUGUCGCACAGCCACAGACAUUCAACGUUAUGCCAUACGAUGGUUUAACUUGGCUGCAGACCGUGGUGCGGCAAGGAGGCGCCUGACCAACCGGUCUAACCAGGCUGAGGCAGAUGAUUAGGCUACUUAUGGUCAUGUUUUCUUUUGUUAAAUAAAAUUUUUAUUUGUUUCAAAUUGUUUCAGUUUUAAUUUAAAUAGUCUGUCGCAGGCUACAUGUUGUUUUCCAAUUCAGAGACCAUGCCCUUUACAAAUUCUAUUGGCCUGGAGCCCAGUGUGUUUAAACCCCACCACGAUCAACUGCAAGAUAGAAUACAACCAACUUACUGCUCCUUUUCAAUAAUCCGACUUGCAUUCCAAUACUAAAAAAACGUAUGUUUGCUACUUAUGUCUCAUGUCAACUGUAAAUGGUUACAUACAACUUAACAGAUAUAAAACACAUUCCCAUUUCCCAGAAUUUCAUUAUAAUCAGAAAACAUCUCCUCUUGUAGUACUUACAACUAGUCUUGCUGAUCCUAUCACUUAGAACUGACACUGUUUAAAAACAGCACUCACUGAUGGUCUUUUUGUACUCUACAUAAGCCGCGUUUCCACCGCAGGAACUUUACCCAGGAACUAGGGACUUGGUCCGGUACUUGGUGUGUUUCCACCGCAGGAACCAGGAACUAAAUAAAAGUUCCGGGUAAAAAAAUGCCCCUCAGAAAGUCCCUGCUGGCGAGGUGGUACUUUUUCAAAGUUCAGGAACUUUCGGGGGCGGGACUUUGGCGCUAAACAUUCUGAUUGGUUGAGUUCACGCAGCAUUGGUUGAGUUCAACCACCAUUUAUUCGGAUAAACAUUUUCAAAAUAUUACUGUUAUUGUGUCAUGAAAUGAAAUUUUAAAAGUAUUUCAGGCGAGAAUGUAGUUGUUUGAAACUCAAAUAUGUUGUUUAUUUAUAAAGACAGCGCCUAUUUAAAAAUGUGUUUCGCCGAUCUCUGAGACGGUGAGCUCCACUCGAUCAGCGAGAGCUCAGUGAUCAUCUAUCCGCCCAGAGGCAGCCUCACCUUGGAUAGACCUUCUGAUAUGUGCCGCUGGCUCUGAUGUGUCUUUAGUGGUUAAACAUAACAUAUAAUUCAGCUGCGGGGUAAAUCUAACAGGUUUUCUUUGGUCUGUAUUCAAUUUAUCUAUAUGUUAAAAUGAAAAUAAAAAAGGCGAAUUUAUAUAAUAUUUCGUUUCAUUGUAAUGGCUGCACACAUUUCCCUGAACUAAGUACAUUUCUGCAGCUGUUAUUAUGUUUAAAUGAAAAUGAAAGGAGGCAGUGGUAUUUUAUAUCCUAUUUCGUUUUAUUGUAAAUAUACUGAGGGGAAAAUUGCAGUAGCCAAAGCGAUCUGAGUUCACGCAGCAUUGGUUGAGUUCAACCACCAUUUAUUCGGAUAAUUUUCAAAUAUUACUGUUAUUGUGUCAUGAAAUGUAAUUUUAA